UUUACAAUGAAAAUAACCCUGUGGGCUUUCUUAUAUAGUAGAUUAAAAUUACAGGUAAAGAAGAUUUGUAAAUUAUACCUUUUGUAUCAGGGGAAUUUUAAAUUAUAAUAAUAAGGUAAUCGAAGGGAAUGGACCCUUUUUGUUAAGGUUUUAGUUGCAUUUAAAUCUGUAAAUAAUUAAGAGGUGAAAAAUGUACGACAUUUUUGGUAUCUAAUUGUUUUUUUUAUGAGGGGUUAAGCUUUUAUAGAUCUAAUAUAGAGGUAUAUAAAAAAGAACUAAGCUUUAAAUUAGCUAUGUUAAUAGAUUGUUUUAAGUAAUUUUUAAAGACUCUUGAUAUUAGAGUUAAACAGGCAAUAUUUAAGUAUUUUAAUAUGUAUAAAUAAUGAAUUUAUUGAAUAAAGAGCAAAAAUUGAAAAUAACUCAUGGAAGCUAGAAAGUUUAGCAAAAACAUUUCUGUUUGAUUAAUUAAAAGUAAAACCUGCCCAGUGAAAAUUAAACGGCUGCGGUAUUUUAACUGUGCUAAGGUAGCAUAAUAAUUUGUUAUUUAAUUGAUAACUGGAAUGAAAGGUUAAACUAGUUUAUUUAGUUUGUAAAUUUUAUUAGGAUAUUUAAGUUUAGGUAAUAAUUCCUUAAUAUUUUAGGGGACGAUAAGACCCUAAAAGCUUAAUAAUUAGUUUUUUAUUAAUUAUAAAAUUAAAUUUGUUUUACUGGGGCGGUAUUAGUAAUUAAACUUUUAUUUUGUUGGUAGAUCCUUUUUAUAAAGAAGUAACGGAUAAGUUACUUUAGGGAUAACAGUGUAAUAUAAUUAAAGAGAUCUUAUCGAUAAAUAUGAUUGCAACCUCGAUGUU
rnacentral:rRNA from 1 species